AACGCUAGCGGCAGGCUAACACAUGCAAGUCGAGGGGCAUCGGGAGUAGCAAUACUGCCGGCGACCGGCGCAAGGGUGCGUAACGCGUGAGCAACAUGCCCGUAUCAGGGGGAUAAUCCAUGGAAACGUGGUCUAAUACCCCAUAGUAAUUAUGUAAGGCAUCUUAUAUAAUUUAAAGCUUUGGUGGAUACGGAUUGGCUCGCGUGACAUUAGCUGGAUGGUAAGGUAACGGCUUACCAUGGCUACGAUGUCUAGGGGUUCUGAGAGGAAGGUCCCCCACACUGGAACUGAGACACGGUCCAGACUCCUACGGGAGGCAGCAGUGAGGAAUAUUGGACAAUGGAUGGAAAUCUGAUCCAGCCAUGCCGCGUGCAAGGAAGACGGCCCUAUGGGUUGUAAACUGCUUUUGUAUGGGAGCAAUAAGGGCUACGUGUAGUCCGAUGAGAGUACCAUACGAAUAAGCACCGGCUAACUCCGUGCCAGCCGCCGC
rnacentral:rRNA from 1 species